rnacentral:rRNA from 1 species
GAUGAACGCUAGCGGCAGGCUUAAUACAUGCAAGUCAAGGGGGUAGCAAUACAACCGGCGCACGGGUGAGUAACGCGUACACAACAUACCAUAUACUGGGGUAUAGCUUCGGGAAACUGGAGAUAAUCCCCCAUAACAUUGCGAGAGGGCAUCUGAUUGCAAUUAAAGUUUCGACGGUAUAUGAUUGGUGUGCGUUUGAUUAGCUUGUUGGUAGGGUAACGGCCUACCAAGGCGACGAUCAAUAGCUGGCGUGAGAGCGCGACCAGCCACACUGGAACUGAGACACGGUCCAGACUCCUACGGGAGGCAGCAGUAGGGAAUAUUGGACAAUGGGCGAAAGCCUGAUCCAGCCAUGCCGCGUGAUAGAUGAAGGCCCUCUGGGUUGUAAAUACCUUUAUCUGGGAAGAAACUCCUCUAUUCUUAGAGGCCUGACGGUACCAGAGGAAUAAGCACCGGCUAACUCCGUGCCAGCAGCCGCGGUAAUGUCG